AGACCCGAAACCCGGUGAUCUAGCCAUGGGCAGGUUGAAGGUUGGGUAACACUAACUGGAGGACCGAACCGACUAAUGUUGAAAAAUUAGCGGAUGACCUGUGGCUGGGGGUGAAAGGCCAAUCAAACCGGGAGAUAGCUGGUUCUCCCCGAAAGCUAUUUAGGUAGCGCCUCGUGAAUUCAUCUCCGGGGGUAGAGCACUGUUUCGGCUAGGGGGCCAUCCCGGCUUACCAACCCGAUGCAAACUGCGAAUACCGGAGAAUGUUAUCACGGGAGACACACGGCGGGUGCUAACGUCCGUCGUGAAGAGGGAAACAACCCAGACCGCCAGCUAAGGUCCCAAAGUCAUGGUUAAGUGGGAAACGAUGUGGGAAGGCCCAGACAGCCAGGAUGUUGGCUUAGAAGCAGCCAUCAUUUAAAGAAAGCGUAAUAGCUCACUGGUCGAGUCGGCCUGCGCGGAAGAUGUAACGGGGCUAAACCAUGCACCGAAGCUGCGGCAGCGAACGUAUCACUUAAAGCGAUUCAGCGGGUUACGAUUGACGGAGCGAAGCGACGUCAAAGCGUAUACAAAGUCGAGUCGGUUUAAGGAUACGUUCGUUGGGUAGGGGAGCGUUCUGUAAGCCUGCGAAGGUGGCCUGUGAGGGUUGCUGGAGGUAUCAGAAGUGCGAAUGCUGACAUAAGUAACGAUAAAGCGGGUGAAAAGCCCGCUCGCCGGAAGACCAAGGGUUCCUGUCCAACGUUAAUCGGGGCAGGGUGAGUCGACCCCUAAGGCGAGGCCGAAAGGCGUAGUCGAUGGGAAACGGGUUAAUAUUCCCGUACUUGGUGUUACUGCGAAGGGGGGACGGAGAAGGCUAUGUUGGCCGGGCGACGGUUGUCCCGGUUUAAGCGUGUAGGUGUGUGUUCCAGGUAAAUCCGGUUCACUUUAACACUGAGGCGUGACGACGAGGCACUACGGUGCUGAAGCAACAAAUGCCCUGCUUCCAGGAAAAGCCUCUAAGCAUCAGGUAACAUCAAAUCGUACCCCAAACCGACACAGGUGGUCAGGUAGAGAAUACCAAGGCGCUUGAGAGAACUCGGGUGAAGGAACUAGGCAAAAUGGUGCCGUAACUUCGGGAGAAGGCACGCUGACACGUAGGUGAAGUGAUUUACUCACGGAGCUGAAGUCAGUCGAAGAUACCAGCUGGCUGCAACUGUUUAUUAAAAACACAGCACUGUGCAAACACGAAAGUGGACGUAUACGGUGUGACGCCUGCCCGGUGCCGGAAGGUUAAUUGAUGGGGUCAGCGCAAGCGAAGCUCCUGAUCGAAGCCCCGGUAAACGGCGGCCGUAACUAUAACGGUCCUAAGGUAGCGAAAUUCCUUGUCGGGUAAGUUCCGACCUGCACGAAUGGCGUAAUGAUGGCCAGGCUGUCUCCACCCGAGACUCAGUGAAAUUGAACUCGCUGUGAAGAUGCAGUGUACCCGCGGCAAGACGGAAAGACCCCGUGAACCUUUACUAUAGCUUGACACUGAACAUUGAGCCUUGAUGUGUAGGAUAGGUGGGAGGCUUUGAAGUGUGGACGCCAGUCUGC
rnacentral:rRNA from 2 species